rnacentral:rRNA from 1 species
AUUGAACGCUGGCGGCAGGCCUAACACAUGCAAGUCGAGCGAGCGGCGGACGGGUGAGUAAUGUAUGGGAAACUGCCUGAUGGAGGGGGAUAACUACGGGAAACUGUAGCUAAUACCGCGUACCAUAGGAUGAGCACAAGUGGGAUUAGGUAGUUGGUGAGGUAAAGGCUCACCAAGCCGACGAUCUCUAGCGGGUCUGAGAGGAUGACCAUCCACACUGGAACUGAGACACGGCCCAGACUCCUACGGGAGGCAGCAGUGGGGAAUAUUGCGCAAUGGGGGCAAGCCUGACACAGCCAUGCCGCGUGUAUGAAGAAGGCCUUCGGGUUGUAAAGUACUUUCAGCGGGGAGGCGUUACCCGCAGAAGAAGCACCGGCUAACUCCGUGCCAGCCGCCGCGGUAAUAC